UACGUAGGGAGCAGGCGUUGUCCGGAAUCAUUGGGCGUAAAGCGCGCGUAGGUGGCUUCGUAAGUCCGUUGUGAAAGUCAAAGGCUCAACCUUUGAAAGCCGAUGGAUACUGCAGGGCUAGAGUCCGGAAGAGGCGAGUGGAAUUCCUGGUGUAGCGGUGGAAUGCGCAGAUAUCAGGAGGAACACCAAUAGCGAAGGCAGCUCGCUGGGACGGUACUGACGCUAAGGCGCGAAAGCGUGGGGAGCGAACAGG
rnacentral:rRNA from 1 species